UUAUCCUAAAGACUCUCGACAACGGAUAUCUCGACUCUUGCAUCGACAAAGAACAUAGCGAAAUGCGAUACUUGGUGUGAAUUGCAGAAUCCCAUGAACCAUCGAGUCUUUGAACGCAAGUUGCACCCGAAGCCAUUAGGGCGAGGGCACGCCUGCCUAGGUGUUGCACAUCGUUGCCCCAUGCUAGGCACCAAGAGGGGCGAAUGUUGGCUUCCUACAAGCAAUGUCUCACGGUUGGUUGAAAACUGAGUCCGCGGUGGAGGACGUUGUGAUGGAUGGUGGUUGAGCUAAUGCUCGAGACUGAUCGUGUGUGUCACUCCCACUAGCUUUGUGACUCUUUGACCCAUGGGGAUAUGUUGGCCUCCUAAUACGGGAACCUCAGGUGAGGCGCAGCUACCUGCUGAGUUUCAGUAUAUCAAUAAGCGGAGGAAAAGAAACUAACAAGGAUCCCCUUAGUAACGGUGAGCGAACUGGGAAAAUCCCAUCAUGAGAAUCGGUCGCCCUCGGUGUCUGAAUUGUAGUCUGGAGAAGCGUCAUCAGCAGCGGACCGGGCCCAAGUCCCCUAGAAGGGGGUGCCGGAGAGGGUGAGAGCCUCGUCGUGCAUAGACCAUGUUGUACCACGAGCCGCUAUCGGCGAGUUGGGUUGUUUGGGAAUGCAGCCCCAAUUGGGCGGUAAAUUCCAUCGAAGGCUAAAUACAGGCGAGAGACCGAUAGCGAACAAGUACCGCAAGGCGAAGAUGAAGGACUUUGAAAAGAGAGUCAUAGAGUGCUUGAAAUUGUCGGGAGGGAAGCGGCUGGGGGCUGGCGAUGUGCCUCAGUCGGAUUUGGAACGAGGAGAGCCAGUCCGCCAAUCGACUUGGGGCAUGGACUGACGCGAAUUGUGAUGGUGGCCCAAGCCCAGGCUGUUGACAUGCUCAUGAAGACGUCAUCAUCGCGAUUGUGGUAGGAAAUGCGCGUCGUUUCGUGUGCUUCGGCUCCUGCGUGCUCCGGGCGUCGACCUGUAGGCUCCCUAUUCGGCCCAUCUUGAAACACAUACCAAGAAGUCUGACAUGUGUGCGACCUAGAGGGCAAGUAAACCCGAGAAGCACAAUGAAGCUGAUUGGUGGGAUCCCCUUGUGGGUUGCACCACCGACCGACCCUGAUCUUCUUUGCAGGGUUUGAGUGAGAGCAUACCUAUCGGGACCCGAAAUAUGGUGAACUAUGCCUGAGCGGAGCGAGACCAGAGGAAACUCUGGUGGAGGCCAGCAACGAUACUGACGUGCCAAUCGUUCGUCUGACUUGGGUAUAGGGGCGAAAGACUAAUCGAACUGUCUAGUAGCUUGUUCCCUCCGAAGUUUCACUCAGGAUAGCUAGAGCCUGUAGGUGAGUUCUAUCGGGUAAAGCUAAUGAUUAGAGGCAUCGAGGGUGCAACGCCCUCGACCUAUUCUCAAACUUUAAAUAGGUAGGACGAUAUGGCUGCUUUGUUGAGCCACUCCAUGGAAUUGAGAGCUGCAAGUGGGCCUUUUUUGGUAAGCAGAACUGGCGUUGCGGGAUGAACCGGAAGUUGGGUUACGGUGCCCAACUGUGUGCUAACCUAGACCCCACAAAGGGUGUUGGUCGAUUAAGAUAGCAUGACGCUAGUCAUGGAAGUCAAAAUCCGAUAAGGAGUUUGUAACAACUUACCUGCCGAAUCAACUAGCCCCGAAAAUGGAAGGCGCUAAAGCGUGCGACCCAUACCCGGCCAUCGGGACAAGGGCCAUGCCCCAAUGAGUAGGAGGACGCGACGGUCGCUGCAAAACCUAUAGCGUGAGCCCGGACGGAAUGGUCGUCGGUGUAGAUCUUAGUGGUAGUAGCAAAUAUUCAAAUGAGAACAUUGAAGGCCGAAGAGGGGAAAGGUUCCAUGUGAAUGACACUUGCACAUGGGUUAGUCGAUCCUAAGGGAUGAGGAAAGCCCGUCUGAUAGUGCUCUAAGCGCGCACUCCGAAAGGGAAUUGGGUUAAAAUUCCUGAACCGGGAUGUGGCGGCUGACUACAACGUUAGGGAGUCCGGAGACGACGACGGGGGCCCGGAAAGAGUUAUCUUUUCUGUUUAAUAUCCUUCCCACCCUAGAAACAACUCAACCGGAGGUGGGGUCCAGCGGCUGGAAGAGCACCGCACGUCACGUGAUGUUUGCUGCGCCCCCGAUGGCCCUUGAAAAUCCAGAGGACCGAGUGCCUCCCACGCCCGGUCUUACUCAUAACUGCAUCAGGUCUCCAAGGUGAACAACCUCUAGUCGAUGGAACAAUGUAGGCAAGGGAAGUUUUCAAAAUGGAUCUGUAACCUUGAGAAAAGGAUUGGCUCUGAGGGAUGGGCAUGAAGGUCCCAGUCCCUAACCCGUCGGCUGUCGGUGGACUGCUCAAGAUGCUCUUAUGGCGAGAGUGGGUCGCUGCGUGCCGGUCGGGGGACGGAUUGGGAAUGGGCCCUUCGGGGCCUCUUCCCCAGACAUCAAACAGUCGACUCAAAACUGGUACAGACAAGGGGAAUCUGACUGUUUAAUAAAAACAAAGCAUUGCGAUGGUUCGUGACGAUGUGGAUGCAAUGUGAUUUCUGCCCAGUGCUCUAAAUGUCAAAGUGAAGAAAUUCAACUAAGCGUGGGUAAACGGCAGGAGUAACUAUGACUCUCUUAAAGUAGCCAAAUGACUCGUCAACUAAUUAGUGAUGCGCAUGAAUGGAGUAACGAUAUUCCCAUUGUCCCUAUCUACUAUCCAGCGAAACCGCAGCCAAGGGAACGGGCUUGGCGGAAUCAGCAGGGAAAGAAGACCCUGUUGAGCAUGACUCUAGUCCGACUUUGUGAAAUGACUUGAGAGGUGUAGGAGAAGUGGGAGUUGGAAACAGAGGAACUGAAAUACCACUACUUUUAACAUUAUUUUAGUUAUUCCGUGAAUCGGAGGCGUGGUGCAGCCCCUAUUUUUGGACCCAAGGUCGGCCUCAGUCGGUCGAUCCGGGCGGAAGACAUUGUCAGGUGGGGAGUUUGGCUGGGGCGGCACAUCUGUUAAUAGAUAACGCAUGUGUCCUAAGAUGGGCUCAACGAGAACAAAAAUCUUGUGUGGAACAAAAGGGUAAAAGCUCGUUUGAUUCUGAUUUCUAGUACGAAUACUGUUAGGUAUCAGUGACAGAAUACACCUAGAAGGGGGUGAAUAGGUGUCGCGGCUCCCACUUACCACUAUAUGCCCCAGAACCCUAUUCUGGAAAAUCAUCCAGUUAAUCGAUUAAAGCUAUGACUUAAUCGAUUAAGUCACAUAGAAUUAGCAAUUGCUUAAUGGCUCAAUUACACAGCCAAUUACAGAUUAUACAGAAAUGAUAUAGCAU
rnacentral:rRNA from 1 species